rnacentral:rRNA from 1 species
UGAAACCAGGAUUAGAUACCCUACUAUACUAAGAUAACAGAAGAAACUAGAAUAUUAAAAGAUAUAAUCUUUAAAUUCGAAGAAUUUGGCGGUAAUUUAGUCUUUCCAGAGGAACCUGUUUAUUAAAUCGAUAAACCACGAAUGAUCUUACUUGUCUUUAUAAAUUUAAUAAGUUUGUAUACCGUCAUUAUCAGGUGAUAUUUAGAGAUAAUAUUAUUGGGUCUUAAAUAUUAAAAAAAAUUAGAUCAAGGUGCAGCUAAUAGAUAAGUUAAAAUGGGUUACAAUUAAUUGAAUAUAAUUUACGGAUAAAAGAUUUGAAAUAAUCUUAGGAAGGAGGAUUUGGUUGUAAUUAAAAUUAAUAUGAUAAAAAGAUAUAAGCUCUAAAUUAUGUACAUAUCGCCCGUCGCUA